AGCCUGGCCAGGUCAGGCCUGCCACCUAGUGGACCCCAGAGGAAUGAACAGCGGGAGCCAAGCCUGCACCCAACCCCUGUCGUAAGGAUGAUUGCAGACCCCAUCUGAGUCCUCAGGGAACUCCAGACCCUCCCAUUCCUUGAAACAGCACAGCCAAGACUGAGGCCUGGGAAGCUGGGCUACAAGAUUUUAGAGUGACAGAGCCUGAAGUGACCUUAGACUGUGGGAGUCCCAGACCUCAGGCUGAGAGGACUAGCCUCAGGCUGUGGGGAGACCUACUUUGGGAUCAUGAGCUGAGAGCACUCAUGCUCAAGUUGAGUGUGGGCCACACCCACAUCUCAGUCUGGGAUGGACAGGUGGACAGGCAGAGGUGGGCCUCCCAGAAGGCAUGGUGGGCUUGAAGUAUAAAGAGGGACAUAGACUAGAGAUAACUGCUUUACCCUUGAUGCCUAAAUGGGGAGCCCUCAGCAGCAGCAAGUUGCCUGCACCCGCACCCCUGGGCCCUGCAGCUGGGCCUUGAGUUUUCGAAGCAACCUGGACGCGCCAAGACUUCUGGCUCUCCGCUCCCCACCCCUCCCCCAGUCCCUAGGCCUUUGUUUCCACCUAGUCCCGCCCCUGCCCUCUACAGACACCUUUGACCGGUGAUGUCAUUGGGUCUGUCCCAACCCAGAGCGGGCUAGAGGCUGGGGUUGGAUCCCCGAGGCUGCCAUGCUCUCUCUGCCUUCCCUACUCUCCUGGCUCCCCGGCCUCCCCUCUCUGGAGUGGGGCUCCAGCCUCUUCAACAGCCUCCUGCAAGGCCUGAUCGGGGCCCUUGGAGUCUCGGUUCUCAACAGCCUCCUGAAAGUUUACUUCUUCGUGGCCUGUGUCAAUGACCCCCGGCGACAGCCUCAAAAGCAGCGGCUGCGAACGCAGUGGGCCUCGCUGGAGACCGUGCACCUGGCCGGGCUGGGCCUGUUCCUGACGGUGGUGGGGGCCCGGGUGGCCGCCCUUGUGGUGCUGGAGUUCUCCCUCCGGGCUGUGUCCACACUGCUGUCCCAGGGCAAGGGCUCCGAGGACAAGGAGAGGCUGCAGCUCUAUCUGCUGUGCCAGUUCUCCCUGGGCUGCGGGCUGAGCUGCGGGCUGAACUUCCUUCAGGAAGGUGCCCCACACAGCACCCUGAACCUACUCCUGAGCCUUGGGCUGGCUGCACUGCUUGCCUUGGCUGCCCGGCGCCUCCGCAGUCACGUCUGCAGCCUCUAUGAGUUGCACAGCACUCAGCGCUACUGUGGGGUCUGCCUGGGUCUGCUGGCCGGCCAGCAUGGCCUGCCAAGGCUCCUGGGCCGCACUCUGGCAGUGGCCUUUGCUGUGAGUGACCUGGCGGCUGUGGCCCUCAUCAACCAGGACUUCCUGAGCACAUCAGAGGCGAUGCGCUUCUGGAUGCCGCUCACCAUCUGCUACACACUGCUGGUCAUCUACAUGCAGGAGCCAGGUCCAGACGGUGCUAGUGCGCAUGGGUGGCCUCUUCAUUCUGCUGCUGACUGUGGGUCGUUGGCUGGACAUUCUGGGCAUCCUUGUCUCCCUGCUGGGUGAGCUGUGGUGCCUGGCAGGUGUUCGUAUCCUAAUCGACCUCUGCCAGAUACAGGGCUUUCCAUCCCCAAGGCCUACAGUAACAGCAUCAGCAUCAGCAACAGGGGCAUCAACAGCGACAGCUCCAUGCCAGUCCCAGCCCUCUGC